ACCCAGUUGACGAAUCCCAAAUAGAACGAAAUGCACAUCCUGAAU
rnacentral:hammerhead_ribozyme from 1 species